GCCUAGAGAGAAGCUCGCGGCUGAUUAGCUUGUUGGUAAGGUAAGAGCUUACCAAGGCGACGAUCAGUAUCUGGUUUGAGAGGACGAUCAGACACACUGGAACUGAGACACGGUCCAGACUCCUACGGGAGGCAGCAGUGGGGAAUUUUCCGCAAUGGGCGAAAGCCUGACGGAGCAAUACCGCGUGAGGGAAGAAUGCCUAUGGGUUGUAAACCUCUUUUUUCAGGGAGGAAUAAAAUGACGUGUACCUGAAGAAUAAGCAUCGGCUAACUCCGUGCCAGCAGCCGCGGUAAGACGGAGGAUGCAAGUGUUAUCCGGAAUCACUGGGCGUAAAGCGUCUGUAGGUGGUUUAAUAAGUCAACUGUUAAAUCUUGAGGCUCAACUUCAAAAUCGCAGUCGAAACUAUUAGACUAGAGUAUAGUAGAGGUAAAGGGAAUUUCCAGUGGAGCGGUGAAAUGCGUAGAUAUUG
rnacentral:rRNA from 1 species